rnacentral:rRNA from 1 species
GACAGGGGUCUCGAGCGUUAAUCGGAAUUACUGGGCUUAAAGGGUGUGUAGGCCGGCCCGCAAGUGACUUGUGAAAUCCCCCGGCUCAACCGGGGAACAGCUCGUCAUACUGCGGGUCUUGAGGAAGGUAGGGGUUGCCAGAACUGUAGGUGGAGCGGUGAAAUGCGUAGAUAUCUACAGGAAUGCCGAUGGUGAAGACGGGCAACUGGGCCUUUCCUGACGCUGAGGCACGAAAGCGUGGGGAGCAAACAGG